rnacentral:rRNA from 1 species
UACGGAGAGGGCAAGCGUUGUUCGGAUUUAUUGGGCGUAAAGCGCGUGUAGGCGGUUUAGUAAGUCGGCUGUUAAAGACCUACGGCUCACCCGAGGGAGUGCGGCCGAUACUGCUAGACUUGAGUGCGGGAGAGGAGAGUGGAAUUCCAGGUGUAGCGGUGAAAUGCGUAGAUAUCUGGAGGAACACCGGUGGCGAAGGCGGCUCUCUGGCCCGCAACUGACGCUGAGACGCGAAAGCGUGGGGAGCGAACGGG